UAUAUAUAUAUACCGAUUAGAAAAAAUAAACGAAUUUGGCCAUUUAUUUGUGUAAUGUAACAAUCCCAACCAUAAACAAACUGUCACUCAAAUUGACAAUUUAUCCUAUUUCCUUCUAUAUUUUUUCUUUAGGAUUUAAUAUGUGCACGGAUAGGGUAAUUAAAGAACUUCAUAUUUUAAAGUACGUAAUUGUAACUUCUUAUAGAAGGUUACUUGGCUUAUUUUUCUAGGUGGAUUUCAAUUAUACGCACCGAUAAUAUGAUUUUUUUUGCACCACCAAUGUGUAACUAGUUAUUUCUAGGUGGAUUUCAAUAACAAGUCAAUUGAUUUAUUUUUCUAAGAUGAGCAAAUUAGACUUUCUACGAUAGUUACCUACUGUAUCAUGUUACUUUAAUACGAUGGUAUAAAAAAUUUACUCCCUCCUUUUUAAUUUAUGUAAACCUAUUUCUUUUUUAGUCCGUGCCAAAAAAAUAACCUAUUUUUAUAUUUGCAAACAAUUUACCUUUACGCGAUAAUUUAUAACCAUACAAAAUAUGGGUACCUUAUUUUUACACCACAAGUUCAAAAGUAUUUUCUUUUUUCUUAAUUUUCGUACCAUGUUAAAUAGGUUUCACAUAAACCGAAACGGAGAAAGCACAUUUUUAGUAUAUAAAAGUUAAACUCUUUGACCGUAAUAACUAAUUACACUAAAUAUAAGUUACUUAUUGUUAUCAUGACCUAAUAGUGAAAAAAUUCUUUUAUAUUUUGCACAGUUAAACCCCUUUCUUAAAUUGUUCGGUGAUUUUCUUUCCUUUUCUUUCUGUUUUUUUUUCCUUUUUGGUGUGAAAAUAUUGAUUAAUUAGGAGGUACCAGUGGGUCAAAGAGCAGAUGCAGCAAAUAGUUUGGUA
rnacentral:lncRNA from 1 species